rnacentral:rRNA from 1 species
UGAUGACGAGACGCUAAGGCGUUGAAGUGGUGUAUGUCAGACUUCCAAGAAAAGCUCGCAAUGUCAUAGAUAAAAAAUGCCUGUACCAUAACCGACACAGGUGGGUAGGUAGAGUAUACUAAGGGGCGCGAGAUAACUCUCUCUAAGGAACUCGGCAAAAUGACUCCGUAACUUCGGGAGAAGGAGUGCCUUAUUUAUAAGGUUGCAAUAACAAGAUCCAAGCAACUGUUUAUCAAAAACACAGGUCUCCGCUAAGUCGUAAGACGAUGUAUGGGGGCUGACGCCUGCCCAGUGCCAGAAGGUUAAAGAAGUUGGUUAGUGUAAGCGAAGCUGAUAACUGAAGCCCUGGUGAACGGCGGCCGUAACGAUAACGGUCCUAAGGUAGCGAAAUUCCUUGUCGGGUAAGUUCCGACCCGCACGAAAGGCGUAAUGAUUUGGAUACUGUCUCGGAGAGAGGCUCGGUGAAAUAGACUUGUCUGUGAAGAUGCGGACUACCUGCACCAGGACAGAAAGACCCUAUGAAGCUUUACUGUAACUUGAAAUUGGAAUUGGACUUUGCUUGCGCAGUAUAGGUGGGAAGCGUUGAAGAUACUCUUGCGGGACUAUUGGAGCUAUCAGUGAGAUACCACUCUUGUAACGUUAGAUUUCUAACUUUGAACCAUAAUCUGGUCAAAGAACAGUUUCAGGCGGGCAGUUUGACUGGGGCGGUCGCCUCCUAAAUGGUAACGGAGGCGUACAAAGGUUUCCUCUGAACGGAUAGAAAUCGUAUCUAGAGUGUAAAGGCAUAAGGAAGCUUGACUGUGAGACCUACAAGUCGAGCAGGGACGAAAGUCGGUCUUAGUGAUCUGACGGUACUGAGUGGAAAGGCCGUCACUCAACGGAUAAAAGUUACUCUAGGAUAACAGGCUGAUCUCCCCCAAGAGUUCACAUCGACGGGGAGGUUUGGCACCUCGAUGUCGGCUCAUCGCAUCCUGGGGCGGUAGUACGUCCCAAGGGUUGGGCUGUUCGCCCAUGAAAGCGGUACGCGAGCUGGGUUCAGAACGUCGUGAGACAGUUCGGUCCAUAUCCGGUGUAGGCGUUAGAAUAUUGAGAGGAGCCUUCUUUAGUACGAGAGGACCGAGAAGGACACACCGCUGGUGUACCAGUUAUCGUGCCAACGGUAAACGCUGGGUAGCUAUGUGUGGAGAGGAUAACCGCUGAAAGCAUCUAAGUGGGAAGCCCACCUCAAGAUGAGUAUUCUCAUC